GUGAGGAAUAUUGGGCAAUGGGCGAAAGCCUGAUCCAGCCAUGCCGCGUGUGUGAAGAAGGUCUUCGGAUUGUAAAGCACUUUAAGUUGGGAGGAAGGGCAGUAAGUUAAUACCUUGCUGUUUUGACGUUACCGACAGAAUAAGCACCGGCUAACUUCGUGCCAGCAGCCGCGGUAAUACGAAGGGUGCAAGCGUUAAUCGGAAUUACUGGGCGUAAAGCGCGCGUAGGUGGUUUUGUAAGUUGGAGGUGAAAUCCCCGGGCUCAACCUGGGAACUGCCUCCAAAACUACUGAGCUAGAGUACGGUAGAGGGUAGUGGAAUUUCCUGUGUAGCGGUGAAAUGCGUAGAUAUAGUAAGGAACACCAGUGGCGAAGGCGACUACCUGGACUGAUACUGACACUGAGGUGCGAAAGCGUGGGGAGCAAACAGGAUUAGAAACCCCAGUAGUCC
rnacentral:rRNA from 1 species